rnacentral:rRNA from 1 species
UACGGGGGGGGCAAGCGUUGUUCGGAAUUACUGGGCGUAAAGGGCUCGUAGGCGGCCAACUAAGUCGGAUGUGAAAUCCCCAAGCUUAACUUGGGAACUGCAUCCGAUACUGGAUGGCUUGAAUUCGGGAGAGGGAUGCAGAAUUCCAGGUGUAGCGGUGAAAUGCGCAGAUAUCGGGAGGAACACCAAUGGCGAAGGCAGCUCGCUGGGACGGUACUGACGCUGAGGCGCGAAAGCGUGGGGAGCAAACAGG